GCUCCUACCAAAGCUAGGCCAGCGGCUCACGAAGGCUGUAGCUGGAGCGCCUGGAAACGUGCGCCUAGCGUUUGCAGCGCUCCCCGGGUCCGGCUGGCCUCUUCCCUGAGUUCUCUGAGCUCGCGCUCCAACUCCAAUGGGCGGGGUACUCCUCCCUUGGGUCCCGCCACGCUGUGGAGGCGCCGUUUUAGUUCUGAGGGAGAAAUGGGCAGAGUCAGGGCGAGUCCGAGCACAGCGCGAGCACCCAGAGUCCUUACCUCUCACCUUCGCCGCGACGCUCCAGGGCCCGGCUUUGCGCUUCCGUCUCCUCCACGCGCCUAGCGCGGGUUCCCUGCAAGACUCGCAGCCUCUCCCCAGGGCUCCCUGCAGUCUGGGAAGUGAGACCCUCAGUCGCUCAGGGACCUGUUUUCUGUUGUGACAGCAACUGCACCUGCAAGUAACUCAGACCCCCUAUUUCUCUAUUGGGUGACCUCCCGCAGGUACUGUCUACUCAUGUGAAGUUUGUAGCCAUGAUUGGUGUGUACCUCCUCUGUCAGCCUCUUUAGAGCAGAUGUGCUGGCCUCCUGAUCACGGCUCUUUUCUUGUGCCAUAAUCUGGUGGCAGGGAGACAAAAAACCGUAAUAAUAAUGAUUGAUGGAAAACCUACCCCUGGCCACUGGCGGCCCUUACCUUGGUGCCUAGUUGUUUGAUCGCGUCUGAAGGCUGUGAUUUAAGCGUUACCUCCGGAGUCAGCCGGCCAAUGCAGAAUCGUUUGGUGUGUGUGGCCAACAAAGCCCAUGAGCGGAAAACCAUAUCACAGGAUUCACAGGGCAAAAGUCCUGAUUCCCCAGAGUAAUUGGCCAUGGGAUGUACUCUCUUAUAGACACCAGCGUCCUACAGAGGCUGUGACAAAAGAGAAAAGGCAGACUGGAAAGAAAAAAGAGAAAAGGGACAAAGAAUAGACCAACUCUGCUAAAUCUCCAGGUCCUUCAAAUAUGUUUAUGUUUGGGGAGGUGCCCUAGCUCCCUGGGCAGCGAGUACAGGCUUUGGCAGGUCUGGACAAUGUGCCUUGCCACCUUUGGGUGGGGCCCAGGUGAGAAAAUGUCAGUUUGUUCCACCAAUUGCAGUGAGUUUGGCCAAGUAUGUAAUUGCGGCUUUUGCCUCUUUAGCCUCUAAUAGGCAAGUGUCAUCUGUACCACAGCUGUUCUCUACAAUGGACAGAUUUCAAGCUAGAAUUCUCCACUCUAGGGAACAUUUCUGCAGAAGGCAAAUCUCAUAUUAGCAGUAUGUCUUUGUAUAAACCCAUCUUUUACAGAAUUAAUGCACCACACAAUGGAAUAUUCUAACUCCCAUUCUGGGACAGGAGUGAUCUGAAUAGCUCCAGUAGCGAGAAAUGGGAGACUAGUUGGGGAGAAUACAAUUUGUCAGAUGGAUACUAUUUGUGAGUCAAACAAGCUCUAUCUGCUGGUCAAGUUAUCUUCACCUUUACACAGACCUGUAAAAGCAACUUUCAUCUCCUAGGCUUACUGCUUCUAUCAGCGAAUCUAUGCGUAAAAUGUUUUCAGCCUCUGAGACUAUUGAAUAAACGCACUCUAGCUAUUCCUCAAGGCUGGCUGACUCAAUUCAGCUAUUCUGUCACAAAGUAAUUUAUAAACGGAUUCAAACUGGCUUCUCUUAGCUUCUCAUUGAAAUUCUCUACUUGGUGAAACUGCCUCUAAACUACACUCAACUGAACUCCAAGAUGGACUUUUCCUGGGCUGCUCGCAUCGUCAUCUGACGUCUCGCUGCUGCUUGUUUCCGUGUCUGAGUCCUCACACUCUGCAAUGCAAGUGCCUCUCCACGGGGAGAACAGGCUGGAACCGCGACUUUAGAGUGUGAAAGAACCUCUCCUUCCUCAACCAUGGGCAGAGAAAGACCGUUCUGAAGACAAGCUUGUUCUCCAUGUUCCUUUGGUUCAGGUGUGUGGCUGCUCUCCGACUGUAAUAAGGAAAGGAUGUAUGCAAUCAACAACACCAAGGAGUGACAACAGUAUUUUCUAUUGGCACCCUACCUGCUACCUACACGGUUUUCACAUUGUAAAACUGAGACCAGCUGUGACAAUAAACUGGGAAAGUCAGAAGAUCCAGAACAUCUAACGCCAAGAGGGGUGGGGUGCACUGAUCCAACUGCGGCCUGCACAGGCCACCUGAAGACAGGAACCAACUAACAUCUUGAGCAUGAUAUGACCAUUAGGUAAAGGAACCUAGAACAACCCACAAACCCCUUAAAUGGGCUUCGUUAAAAGCACAUUUUUGCUCUGUGGUACACAUUGUUUGGAGAAGGGAACAACACGGCAGCACAGGCCUGCCAUCCCGGUACUGAGGUGGCAGGAUCACCAACAUCAAGAAUUCAAUACAGGGG
ensembl:processed_transcript